GAUGAACGCUGACAGAAUGCUUAACACAUGCAAGUCUACUUGAAGUAACUUCGGUUAUGGAUGGUGGCGGACGGGUGAGUAACGCGUAAAUAACUUGCCCCCUAGUCUGGGACAACUGUUGGAAACGACAGCUAAUACUAGAUAUUAUGAGACCUUGGCAUCAAGGACUUAUGAAAGCUAUAUGCGCUAGGGGAGAGAUUUGCGUCCUAUUAGCUAGUUGGUGAGGUAAUGGCUCACCAAGGCGACGAUAGGUAGCCGGCCUGAGAGGGUGAACGGCCACAAGGGGACUGAGACACGGCCCUUACUCCUACGGGAGGCAGCAGUGGGGAAUAUUGGACAAUGGACCAAAAGUCUGAUCCAGCAAUUCUGUGUGCUUGAUGAAGGCCUUCGGGUUGUAAAGAGCUUUAAGUAGGGAAGAAGAAAGUGACGGUACCUACAGAAUAAGCGACGGCUAAAUACGUG
rnacentral:rRNA from 1 species